rnacentral:rRNA from 1 species
AGAAUCAACGCUGGCGGCGUGCCUAACACAUGCAAGUCGAACGAGAAAGUGGGGCAAUCCAUGAGUAAAGUGGCGACCGGGUGAGUAACACGUGACUAACCUACCUUCGAGUGGGGGAUAACCUCGGGAAACCGAGGCUAAUACCGCAUAACAUCGCAAGAUCAAAGCAGCAAUGCGCUGGAAGAGGGGGUCGCGGCUGAUUAGCUAGUUGGCGGGUAACGGCCCACCAAGGCGAAGAUCGGUA